rnacentral:rRNA from 1 species
AUCCAUGCAUACCGCCAUGAAUGUGCCUGAUUUCCUCUGAGCUCUGAAGCUGAGCAGAGGCAGGUCUGGUUAGUGCUUAGAACAAGAAUAGAAGAAAAGGUAGAGAUAGGGACC